UGGGUGUCAACAUUCCAGUGGCCCAAAUGGCUGUGCAUGAAUGGGCUUUGGUUCGAAGGAUGGUGAGCAGAUGGUCACCGGCCUCACAGAGAAGAAGGUUGUGCAACAGGGCCUGGAGGCCCUCUGAAGAUCUGAGACAAGGGGAAGAGGACAACUUUACCAGGGACAAGACAGCCUGAGCUUCAGCAAAACACUAUAAAAGAGUAUCCUUGGUUCCAUAUGACCCAGGCAGAGGGAGGAGUGAUGGGUUUUCAAGGACUGAGAAUGCACAUAUGGAUAGAACAAAUCUAGAAAUUCAAGCUACUUCUAUUGCUAAACAAGUAUAGAGUUUCAUAUAAAUAUAAUUCAUAAAAGGUAUAAACGGCAAGAGUUUCUACCCAAAGAUUUUGUGAAACACCUGGCAUUCUAGCUACAGCAGCAAAUUAUGGCAUCCCUUAGCCCCUCAGAGACCUCUGUCCUCAGCAGAUGUGACCGCCUUCUUGGAUCUCAGCAGUGCAAGGGUUCAGUGUGCCAGCAUCUCUACAUCUGAGGUCUUGCUGUCUUCUGCAGGCCUUCCAGCUGCUUUGAGAGAGAAGUGACCAAAGUAUUCUCACUUUUGAAGGGAGUGAAAUAAAACCUGGACAAACCAGGUUCUCAAAUUAAAAUUCAUGGAUCUUCCUA
ensembl:lncRNA novel transcript